rnacentral:tRNA from 1 species
UCUAAUAUGGCAGAACAGUGCAUUGGAUUUAAGCUCCGAAUACAAAGUACACCUUUUGUUAGAA